AAUUGAUAGUAUAAUUGGUAUGGUUGAAUAGGAAAUUUGGACCCAAUUUAAAUUGACAUAUGAUUAAUUUAAAUUAGUUCACUAAGUAAUUCAUUCCAUCCAACCGUGACAUUGAAACUCACAACUAGAUGAACUCAAAUUUAUUAAUAUAAAUUGGGAUCAAACCUAAAAAUGAAAAAAUUGAGGGAAUAGCAACCUUUUAAAACUGCAUUGGGAAGGUUGGCAAAAAAUAAAAGAAAUAUUAGAUUUAUAGCAAGGAGCCAUCCUAUACACUAUGAUUUUUUUAAAAAAAAAAGAAUUAUUAAAACUUUAUAAAAGAAAGAGAUUUUAGAAAGAAAAUACAAAAUUAGUUUAGCAUUAAAAAAAAGAAAGAAAGAAAAGAAUGUAUUUUUAUUGUAUAUUUUUGUAGGGAAGAGAGCAAAGGCUAAUUAAUCGCAAUUUGCAAUUAUAAAAAGACAUUAUACUUUUGGUUAUGGUCCCUCCAACUACGAACAUCAACAAAUCACUUUUCCACAAAACAAUCCAUCAUUUCAAUUCAUCCAAAUUCCAAAAUCACCAAUUAUUAUUUAUUUCUAUACCCACCAACAUUAUUUUUAAAUGAUUAACUCUUGUUUGCUUUCUGAAGAUGACAUGUGUAUGCUAUAUACUAUGUAUCACUAACACACAUAUAUAUACUAUAUAUGUGUGUCUUAGAUAGAUUUAACGUUGCUACAAUGGUUAAUUAGGUUUAGAAAAUUAAAUCCUUUUAUAAUUUUUAAACUAUAUAUGAUUGUUGUGUCUACAAAUGUUAAAAAAUAUUAUAAGAAAAGAACUAAAAGAAAAGAACUAAAAGUAGAUUUGGUGGAUCGUAAGGGAGAGUUCCCACAUAAAGAGACGAUGGACGUUGCCAAUCUUAUUAUAAGUUAACAAGUUGAGAAAAUUUGGCAAUUUAUAAUUUCCAUUUUUUUUUUUUUUGUUUCUAUGGUUUCCAUUUCGUGCACUAUUUUAGGACGAUCUAAUGGGCAACCAGAAGGGACGUAGUUUAUCUGGUGGUGACGAUGUUCUCACCCAGACAUUGGGAGGGAAAGAUCGUCCGGCAUACUCCGAGACGUGGGGAAAGUACGUGACUAAGAAAAAAUAUUUCCAUACCCCAAUGGAAUCUAAAGAAGGUAAUGAGGAGAGGACAGUGUAUGAGGAACGUGAUCAAAUGGUCAAACGAAUUAUCGAGCUAGAAGCGGAGUUGCAUAGAAUGAAAAAGAACAAGACCCUAGUAUGUGUUUGAAAGGAACACCAUCAAUCGAAGGGGUUUCAGAUGAUGAGACUGAAGACGUAGCCUCUGAUUCAGUACCAGAUAAAGCGACAAACGUUGUGACAGAAGUGAAGAAAGAAGAAAAUGUGGGGGACACAAGAUCAAGUGACUUGAAGGUUGGAACUCCAUGUAUGCUUGCGUUGGAGGGUUGUUAAGUGUCCCAAACAAAAUGGUGUGGUAGAAUGCGGGUACUAUGUUAUGCGAUUCAUGCGGGACAUAAUUUCUGGGAAGAGUACUUCGAUUGUAGAUGUCAUGAAAAGUUUACCUCCUACGUACUCUCAAGAUGAAAUCGAUGAAGUUAGAUCGAAAUUGGCGGAGUUCCUUUCUAAGCACGUACAUCGUGCUUAGCGCCAGAUUAGGAAACAACAUUUUUUGAAGUAUUUUGUGGGGAUUUUUUGUUAAUAUAAUUUUGUUAAACCCGAACGACACACAAGAAAAUGUUAAGCACAUUAUUUUGAAUAGACUUAAGCAUGAAAGGGGUAAGUGAAUGGUUAUUUGAUCACAUCUAAGUAUAUGUGACUUGCUUUUAAGUAAGUGGAUAUGAAUGCGUGUUUGCUUAUUUGUUUCUUAGGAAGAGUUCGAUAUAUAUGUGACUGACUCAUGAAAUUUUGUUAUUUGGUGUCAUACUGCAUUGGGAUAUGAAUCUUUUUGCAAUCAAAUAACUGUCGAAGGUGAUUAUUUGCUUGUGUCCUUGGUUCACUACCUUUGAA